rnacentral:rRNA from 1 species
CCAGACAGCCAGGAUGUUGGCUUAGAAGCAGCCAUCAUUUAAAGAAAGCGUAAUAGCUCACUGGUCGAGUCGGCCUGCGCGGAAGAUGUAACGGGGCUAAACCAUGCACCGAAGCUGCGGCAGCGACGCUAUGCGUUGUUGGGUAGGGGAGCGUUCUGUAAGCCUGCGAAGGUGUGCUGUGAGGCAUGCUGGAGGUAUCAGAAGUGCGAAUGCUGACAUAAGUAACGAUAAAGCGGGUGAAAAGCCCGCUCGCCGGAAGACCAAGGGUUCCUGUCCAACGUUAAUCGGGGCAGGGUGAGUCGACCCCUAAGGCGAGGCCGAAAGGCGUAGUCGAUGGGAAACAGGUUAAUAUUCCUGUACUUGGUGUUACUGCGAAGGGGGGACGGAGAAGGCUAUGUUGGCCGGGCGACGGUUGUCCCGGUUUAAGCGUGUAGGCUGGUUUUCCAGGCAAAUCCGGAAAAUCAAGGCUGAGGCGUGAUGACGAGGCACUACGGUGCUGAAGCAACAAAUGCCCUGCUUCCAGGAAAAGCCUCUAAGCAUCAGGUAACAUCAAAUCGUACCCCAAACCGACACAGGUGGUCAGGUAGAGAAUACCAAGGCGCUUGAGAGAACUCGGGUGAAGGAACUAGGCAAAAUGGUGCCGUAACUUCGGGAGAAGGCACGCUGAUAUGUAGGUGAAGUCCCUUGCGGAUGGAGCUGAAAUCAGUCGAAGAUACCAGCUGGCUGCAACUGUUUAUUAAAAACACAGCACUGUGCAAACACGAAAGUGGACGUAUACGGUGUGACGCCUGCCCGGUGCCGGAAGGUUAAUUGAUGGG